GAGAAGUCAGGCCAGAUUAAGCCAUAGUACGGAAAGAGCUAUGCUGCCUGUGAGCCCCGUCUAAGGACGUAAAAUGAAGUCAGGCCGAAAGCCACGGAUUGAGCAAGCCGUGCUGCCUGUGGCUCCAU
rnacentral:lncRNA from 1 species